GACGAACGCUGGCGGCGUGCUUAACACAUGCAAGUCGAACGGAAAGGCCCUGCUUUUGUGGGGUGCUCGAGUGGCGAACGGGUGAGUAACACGUGAGUAACCUGCCCUUGACUUUGGGAUAACUUCAGGAAACUGGGGCUAAUACCGGAUAGGAGCUCCUGCUGCAUGGUGGGGGUUGGAAAGUUUCGGCGGUUGGGGAUGGACUCGCGGCUUAUCAGCUUGUUGGUGGGGUAGUGGCUUACCAAGGCUUUGACGGGUAGCCGGCCUGAGAGGGUGACCGGCCACAUUGGGACUGAGAUACGGCCCAGACUCCUACGGGAGGCAGCAGGGGGAAUAUUGCACAAUGGGCGGAAGCCUGAUGCAGCAACGCCGCGUGCGGGAUGACGGCCUUCGGGUUGUAAACCGCUUUCGCCUGUGACGAAGCGUGAGUGACGGUAAUGGGUAAAGAAGCACCGGCUAACUACGUG
rnacentral:rRNA from 1 species